GAGAGAGACUCUCUAAAACGGCGCUCUCUCUUCUCUUUCACCGUUUUUUGUUUUGCUUCUUAUUCUCUUUUUGAAGCUAUGGGAAAGCAUGGGUGCCUUACAAAGCCGUCGUAAAGGAGCUGAAGAAAGAAGAUUCAGGCGGGGCCAAGAUCUUAAGCCGUCUUGAAGGAGAUAUUGAAGAAGAUGGUUCAUCUUAGUCUCUCACCAAAUCUGGCCGCUCCUCACAGUCUUUGGGGUGAGAUCUUAAAAUUUGUUUGGUUUAUUUCCUUGUUGGCUCUUUCGUGAACUGCACUUAGUGGUCAGAACUCCUUCUGCAAAUUUCCGAGUCCGGGCUGAUGUCUGCAAGUUAUCAUUCCUUCACAUAGUCGUAGAGUCCCUUGAUAACUAAGAGUUUUCACUCUUUAUAGAGGUUAUCAAUUCCCUGUCUUGUAGUACAAGGGGUUAUCAAACCAAACUUGUGGAGAGGCACUAAUCUAUGUUACUUGUAAUCUUAAGUCAAGAUGAUCAAGCAAGGUUUUUGAUGACUAA